UAGCUGUUUGGUUUUCGGUUCAGUUCCAAAUUUUCUUUUUUUCUUGUUUUCGAUUUGGUCUCGGUUCGAUAAUGGGUUUUAGUUUUUGGUUCAAGAGAUAUAUGAACCGUUCAUUUAUUUAUGAAUUUGUUUUUUUGUUUUGGUUUUGGUUUUGGUUUGGUUAUUUUGUUUUCAGUUUUGUUCGGAUAACAAUGUUCGAUUGUGGUUUUGACCAGCGCUUUAAAAGCACGGGAUUUAUCUUUAGUAAAUUUUAUAAUAUAUUAUAGUUUAUUGAUUAUUAUAUGUAUUUUAAAUUU
rnacentral:lncRNA from 1 species